rnacentral:lncRNA from 1 species
CUCAAAGCUAAUGACUCAAAAUGAAUCGAAAUAUUAGGAUAGAAGGAAAACAUGGUGUUGUAUACAUGUGCUUUGAUCCGUCUGAUAAUUAUGUCUGAAUGGGGCACUAUUUCUCAAAAAUUUCCGAUUCCUUGUUUCCAAAGUGGGUAUAUUGUGCAUGCAAGUGAUACUUCUUGACUUUGCUAUGCCACGAAGUCCCUUGAUCUUCCUUUUUGAUCCAUUUCAGUGCGCAGAAAUUGUGGAAAUAGAUUUUUUAAUGCUCAGCCAUUCCUUAAUUUGCUUUCAAAUGUUAGAGCUCAUAGGGCGUUCAAAGAAGAGGUGUAGUGAUUCAGCAGUUGAUCCACAUAGAACACAAUUUCUAUCAAUAUCCAUAUGCUGAGGUUUAUCUUUUGCGAGCAGCUUAGAUGUUGCACUAAGCCAAAGAACAAAAAUGUGUUUAGGAGUAAUGCAUGAACUCUAAACAUCAGCUGCCCAAAUCCUUUUGGACCUUUUUUGGUCUGAAAUAGUCAUAAGCAUGUGAGAUGUUAUUGUCUCCACUAGCUUUCCAUUAAGGAAUCCUCUUAAUAGCUAGCUGAGUAGAUCCCUCCAACUGGCAAAUCAAAUCUUUGAGGCCUAGUGCUUUUUGAGCAGAGGGGAGACCCUUGAUAGGUGACAACUCCCCAACGAAGCCCUUUCAGAUACACAUGAUUAACCCAGCGGACAGAAAUUAUCUCUCUUUUCAUGGAUGGUCCAUAAUGUUUUUGCAAGAAUGGCAGUAUUCCAGCAUUUGAUGUUUCGAAAUCCUAG